rnacentral:sRNA from 1 species
AGAUGAGGGGUGUCGCCGGCAUUAGUCGCCCCCGCCGCCGACGCCCUUCGGGGAAGCAGCGCAACGCUCGCUUCCCCCGCCUACCUUCCGGUGGAAUUACGCCCCCCUCCGUCGGAAGGUCUAGGGCGGUGAGGUCCCCCCCAGCUUCACCGCCCGCCUUU